rnacentral:lncRNA from 1 species
GGCCCCACCCUCCUGUUGUGGUUAGACCCAGUAGUUAGAAGUUAGAGUGAGCAGGGCAGUGGACAGGUUGUGGAAGAUGGCCAUUAGAAGGCUGAAGUUAUGCUGUGGAGAAAAAAGAAACCAAGCUAUUGAUUCAAUUGGGAAGGCAAACAACUUCAGGCUUUACCCCCUGAUGGAGGUCCUGGACAGGUAUAAACAUUCUGAGGCUCUAAAAUCGUGUGCAUACUGGGAUUGGUGGAGUCAGGAUGGAAAUUAUGUCCUCCUCAGCUGUGGGAACAACACUUCCUUUGACUAUGAAAGCGUAGGACAAAGAGAAGUUGAAGAAAAUAGACAUGAGGAGUAGGUAUGGAAAAUUGAUAAGGUCUCAGUGACCCCUGAUUAAAAGAGAAAUGUAAUAAAGAUACUUUUGUGGUGAAAGAUAAACAGAUUGCAUAGGUGCCUCAACAAUGGAGGAAACUGUAACCUAUGUAGUCUUAUUUAGAAAAACAUAUCAUGUGAAUUCUGACUUGGUUCUCUUCACUCAACUCGUUUAAUCUGAUGGGACGACUAUAUCUUUUCAGGUGAAGUCAGAAAAGGAAAUUAGCUUGGUGGACGAAAGAUGGCAGCUUGUGUAAGCUGUGAUCUUACUCCUCAACGUGGACAGAAGAGCAGCAGAAACAGUCACUGUGGAAUCCUAAGGAAUGUGGAUCAGCCCCAGUCCAGACCUUCUCCAAUUCUGCUUCUAGCAAGUGCCUCAGGAGAUCUGUGCACACACUGGAGUUUGAGACCUGACCUAGGAGACAACUUUGUAGUUGCAGCAUCAUCCACUCACUCCCCUCUCCUCUUAAAAUAACUCUAGAAAAGUAUUUUCUGAAUCUUGUCUUUUCAUCCACAGCAUAUCUUGAUCAAAACAUUCUUAGAAUACCAUCUGAUUUUUAUAGCUUCUCAUAGUCUGCCUUUCCCGGUAAAGUACAAUGAAACUUCUUUAUAUUUCACAUAUACACAUUCUACUUGGGACUUUUCUCUUGUUCCUAAUUUUUUUCUGUUAUAUACCAUAGGGUUAAAGUACAAAGAAGAGAAUUAUAGUCUUAUCAGCAAUAAAAAUGUGUACUAAUGAGUGCAAUAUUGAGUUGUUAAAUCAUUUGUUGGUGCCAGUCCCUCAUAGCAUUUACUUAGCAUUAAAGUCCUGGAGUCAAGAAGCAUAUUUUUGUUCAAGUGAAAUGCCGGAGUCCUUCAAGCACUAGGACUAGCUUAGGUUUAUGGCAACAAUGAAUAUGACAAAUUUUCAUAAAAUAUGAUCAAGCCAAAUUAACAGUACACUAAAAGUGUGGUUACAUAUUGUUUAUUAUUUAUUAAAGCCACUGGAGAUCAAAAUAGCAAAGCAGACAUACUAGUUAGCCAUAGAAACCAGGAACACACCUUUAAUUCCAGGACUCAGGAUUAAGAGGUAGAUGGAUCUCUGAGUACAAGACCACCCUGGGAUACCAGAGUGUGAAUCAGGGCUCACAACUUUAAUCCCAGGAUUUGAGACGUACAAAAGGUAGAAAGGGUAUCUCAGUCAGAAAAUUAGUCAUUAGCCAUGUUGAGGAGAGCACAGCAGUCUGAGUGAAUCUGAGGAGCAGUGAAGUCAGGAGCAGUUUGAGGAUCACAACUUUAUCUGAGCUGAGGUAGAGGUAAGAGCUAGUGGCUGGCCGCUUUGCUUUUCUGAUCUUCAGCUUGAAACUUGAACCCUAAUAUCCUC